UGACAUGUGUGCGAUUUAACGGGCGAGUAAACCCGUAAGGCGUAAGGAAGCUGAUUGGUGGGAUCCCCCUGAGGGUGCACCGCCGACCGACCUAGAUCUUCUGUGAAGGCUUCGAGUGUGAGCAUACCUGUCG
rnacentral:ncRNA from 1 species